AAUGAACGCUGGCGGCGUGGUUAAGACAUGCAAGUCGAACGGUUUUUCAGGUGUAGCAAUACAUUUGAAGAGCAGUGGCGAACGGGCGCGUAACACGUGAGCAAUCUACCUUUUAGUGUGGAAUAGCUCGGCGAAAGCCGGAUUAAUACCGCAUGUGGUUGCCUCUCGCAUGAGAGACAUACUAAAGUCAGGGACCGCAAGGCCCGACGCUAUUAGAGGAGUUCGCGGCCUAUCAGCUAGUUGGCGAGGUAACGCUCACCAAGGCUAAGACGGGUANCUGAUCUGAGAGGAUGAUCAGCCACACUGGAACUGA
rnacentral:rRNA from 1 species